AAUGUCGCAUUGAAGUGCUUCAAGAUUAUAUUUUUGCCUACUGAUUGUCAUGAUACGGAUUGCUAAAUCAAAUCUGAAUUACUGUUUACUUUACCCUAACUGUAAAGCCAGCGAGCUACGCACCAACUUUUUUAGCAAGACUCUGGGACUCAGCAGAACUCUGUGAACUAGUCUUGGAUUUCCACUCACUGCUACUCCUAGUCUUAUGCAAACUACUUUUUGUGGCUGUUGUCUUCUAAAAAAUGUUGGGAUGAAAAGGACUGGUUACCUUAUUAUAAUUAGUCAAGAAAACCCAAAUUUUCUCAUUUGCUAGCAGGCAGCACACUCAUUUCAUUAACUCAAAACUACAGAGCUGAAAAUACCAUGCACUUCUGCUUGCUCAUCCUGUUCUAGCUGCUCCUGGGUCUCUCCACUCUGUAGUGGCAGGUUUCAUACAUAUGGGGGAGCUUCCUGGCUCUGUCUGUGUGACAUCAGAAUGCUGUUGCCAUGUGGAGCACAAUUGCACCAUGCAGCUUCUCCCUGCAAGGGCUACCCCUCACCCAGCCCAGGCAAUUUCCUACUUCAGCAUGGAAUGAAUCUACUCCACUAUGGAGCUUUGAAAUGUGUAAUAAUCCACGAGCAAUAUCAAGAUAAAUGAGCAGCCACACCAAUGAGUAAAUGGAUAUAGGAAACAUUGGAAAAUAUGGAGACGCGUUAAAUUACGGACUUGAAACUGGGCUGGACCAAGUCAAGCUUUGAUCAGCAGGCUGUGGAUCUUCUGAGAUAACACAGAUCCAGAGAAAGAGAGUAUAUGUUAGAAUAUAUUCAGUGAUACAUUAAUAUGGUUAUAUGCCUUGAACUGCUGUCUGAUAAAAUGAACUCUUUGAACUCUAAACUCACCUGUGGAGUCUUGCUGUUGAAGUCCAAGUUAGAUCAGUGCCCUAUUACAUGGGUUACAUGAUGCUUAAGCAUUGUAAAUUAGGAAAUGUAAUAAUAUAUGCUCUGUACUUAUUACUAUCUUUACUAUUUGGUAAAUGUUAGAUUAUCCUCUCUGGGAAACAAUGAAUUAAUGUAUUAUUUUAAUACGAAGAGAAUUCAUGCUUUUUUUAACUGUAGGCCUUUAAUUUUCUGGACUGAAGGUGAACUUUAAAAUCUGCAGAGGAUCUGAAGGGAUCCUCUGCAAUGGAACAAGGUAUAAGUUUGGCAUAGGCAUUUUCCAUCAGAUUUUUUUUUUAAUUAUUCUCUGGCUUCACAGAAGACUUCUGAGGGGAGUCAUUACUGGUGUUCUUCAUACCAUUCUGGUUGCUUGCAACAUGCUCAGAUUUUAUCAGACUUCAACUUUUUUGGCUAUGCAGAAAUUUUCUGCUUUGGAAGUAUAUUUAGGAAUGUAAAUAGAUACAGCCAGACAUAGUGGUGUUAAUUGUAUUACUUUGAACUUGGAGAAUCCCCUUGCCUUCCCUAUGAGAUCAGGAACUGUGAUUCUAUGAUUCUGCUGUUCAGUGACUAGCACAGCAGUGCACAAGGGUUAUUUGGGCGUUAAAUAGGUCCCAUUCAACAUGUGAAAUUUUUAUCCAAAGAAAUCCCUGUAUUUACUGCAAGUAAGAAGCAGAGCAGGGCAAAUGCCAAAUUAAGGGCUAUCACUUGAAUAUUUAUUAUUUACUUAGUUAAAUUCACUUUGUUUAUAUUUUAGAUGGUAUAGUGGACUUGAUGUAGGACUAAUUAUCAGUUUUUAUACUUGGUUUAUUGAAAAUGGUUGAUUUUCCAUAGACGUGUGUUUCCUAAAUACCACAGGCUAAACCUACAUUCUGAUACACUGUUUCUUUAAUAGCACACUAAGUCCUCAGUUCAGCUACUCACGUAUCUCUUAUGUAUAUAUAAAAGCACUGGAUUGUCAUAUACCACAUAACUUCAUGCUUUUAUAUAUCUCAAAAUUCCUUUCAAGACAGUUCUGAAUCUGCUCAGGAGAAUACAUAACAAUAUUACAGUGUAACAUCUGGUGUGCUAUGUGGAAAUCUGCCAUUCUUCUUCCAUGCAAGCUAGGAACCAUGGCAAGAUAUUGAUGCCUCAUUCAAUGCUUAGCAUAGCUCGCUCAAUUCCUAUUGCUGGAAACAACUAGUCUAUGUACCGAUACAGAAGAUGAUAGAACUAUUUUGUUUUAUAUGAGGAAAAGCAUUUGACAUACUUAUAAGUCUCAGAUAUAUUUUUGCAGUCUCAGUGGGGAUUUAUGUUUUUUGGGAUAAAUUAUCACUUGAUUGACUUCUUAUUCCAACUUUAUCCUCUGUAAGGCCACAGAUAACUUUCUAUUGAUGAAUAUUUUCUAGACUGAUUUUUUUUCAUCCUUGCUUGCUGUUCCUCUCUUGCCCUGUACAAGUGUGGACCUAAUGAUAUUAGUAGUACAUUCUACUGAUAUGUAUUUAACGUUCCAGUAAAAAAUGUUUCUGCUAGAUCAAAAAUCAGAUGAGGAUAAUAACAUAAAUUUCUCACUAUGAAAAAACUGAUGGGAUCCUUUAAAGAGAGUAAAUUCCUUCACUGUGAAAAAUAAGAUGCAGAGUUGUACUCUGCAUGCUAAUCCUUACUUUACUCGGCACGUGAGGAAUGUCUCCAUGUCUUUUUCCAGUACAUAUGGCGUGAUUUGGAAAAAGGCCAUCCACCCUUUUUAUGCCCUGUGGCAUAAAAAAAAAAAAA